GACUGCGAGCGUGACGGCGCGAGCAGGUGCGAAAGCAGGUCAUAGUGAUCCGGUGGUUCUGAAUGGAAGGGCCAUCGCUCAACGGAUAAAAGGUACUCCGGGGAUAACAGGCUGAUACCGCCCAAGAGUUCAUAUCGACGGCGGUGUUUGGCACCUCGAUGUCGGCUCAUCACAUCCUGGGGCUGAAGUAGGUCCCAAGGGUAUGGCUGUUCGCCAUUUAAAGUGGUACGCGAGCUGGGUUUAGAACGUCGUGAGACAGUUCGGUCCCUAUCUGCCGUGGGCGCUGGAGAACUGAGGGGGGCUGCUCCUAGUACGAGAGGACCGGAGUGGACGCAUCACUGGUGUUCGGGUUGUCAUGCCAAUGGCACUGCCCGGUAGCUAAAUGCGGAAGAGAUAAGUGCUGAAAGCAUCUAAGCACGAAACUUGCCCCGAGAUGAGUUCUCCCUGAGACUUUAGUCUCCUGAAGGAACGUUGAAGACGACGACGUUGAUAGGCCGGGUGUGUAAGCGCAGCGAUGCGUUGAGCUAACCGGUACUAAUGAACCGUGAGGCUUAACCUUACAACGCCGAAG
rnacentral:rRNA from 1 species